GACGAACGCUGGCGGCGUGCCUAAACAUGCAAGUCGAGCGAAAAGACGAGGAGCUUGCUCCUCUUACGUUAGCGGCGGACGGGGUAGUAACACGGGGAUAACCUACCUAUAAGACUGGGAUAACUUCGGGAAACCGGAGCUUAUACCGGAUAACAUUUUUAACCGCAUGGGUCAACAGGGAAAGACGGUCUUUCUGUCACUUAUAGAUGGAUCCGCGCCGCAUUAGCUAGUUGGUAAGGUAACGGCUUACCAAGGCAACGAUGCGUAGCCGACCUGAGAGGGUGAUCGGCCACACUGGAACUGAGACACGGUCCAGACUCCUACGGGAGGCAGCAGUAGGGAAUCUUCCGCAAUGGGCGAAAGCCUGACGGAGCAACGCCGCGUGAGUGAUGAAGGUCUUCGGAUCGUAAAACUCUGUUAUUAGGGAAGAACAAAUGUGUAAGUAACCAUGCACGUCUUGACGGUACCUAAUCAGAAAGCCACGGCUAACUACGUG
rnacentral:rRNA from 1 species